GGCAGCCUCGCCAGGCAGCCGCAGCGUCCAUGUUGACGGCUCAAAGCGGAAGUCGUUAGGCUGAACGGAAGGGAACCUGCAGGGGGACUUCCGACAGCAACCUGUGCCUUUUUCCCGACUGUCCGGCGCCGUGACGCUGGGGGGCGCGUGGGAGUGGGGCGGGGCCGGCGCGCGGGCCGGGAAAGCGGAAGCGGGGGCUGUGCGUCGCCGGAAACGGGUGUGAGGGCGGAGCUGGCGGCGUCACCGCGGACGUCAGUAGUUGCCCCGCCCUUGCCUUCGCCGCCCGCCGGUGCUUAAAAGGCUUCAAAGUACUGUGAGAGCACAGCCUCUGGAAUCAGAUCACUUAGAUUAAAAUCCUAGUAUUUACCUCAGAGGAUGAUUGUGAAGAAUUGAUGAGUUAACAUUUACAAACAGAAUACUUCAUGUGUGAUUUGUGUCCUCUGUGCAUCACAUCAUAGAAAAUACGGUAUUUUUUCCCAUUUUGGUGACAUAAGUUUGUUCAUUUGGUUUAAGUGAUUUCCACCAGACUUCUACAUUUAUAAAGGUUCUGCCAGUAGGAUAGAGGAGUGAUGGGGAAAGCAGCCAACUGAGGUGAAUUAGCAGCCCCCAUGCAGUCAAAGCCAUUGGUUAGACCUUGAAAGAAGCCCUUUUCCUACUUCAGAGAUACUGCUAAGAACAAUGUGGCAUGUGCCAGCACUUGACUGGCCGGACCAUUCUCAAAGAAUCCUUAACACAAGUGCCAGAAAACCAAGUGCCAGAAAUCCUGGGAUAGAGGCUUUUGCCAGGAGAUUCCCCGAUUUGUUGAGCUGAACCAAGAGAGAGAUGACUCUAAAUGCCGCUGAUUGAUGACCAAGAGUGAUGCUUAUCCAUUUUGACACUCUGCUGCUUCUUGUCAAGUGUUCACCCACCCUGCCCCAUUUAGAAAGACCUCAAGUAACUGCUGUCUUGAAACCUCCUUAGAUGGUUGGCUUGGCUGAUACCUAAAUAUCACUUGACUCAUACUGUGGUGUUGGGGAAGGAGGGAGGGAUAAAUUACUCUUCUUGCAUUGCAUGAUUCUGUUAUUUUUUUUCUUUUUUUCUCUUUUUUUUUAAGAUUUUAUAAAUUACUCUUCUUG